rnacentral:rRNA from 1 species
GACGAACGCUGGCGGCGUGCCUAAUACAUGCAAGUAGGACGCAGUUGCGAACGGGUGAGUAACGCGUUGGUGACUACAGAUUAGAGGGGGAUAAAUAUUGGCAACGAUAGCUAAUACCGCAUACUAGUAGAUGGACCUGCGUUGUAUUAGCUAGUAGGUCGGGUAAUGGCCUACCUAGGCAACGAUACAUAGCCGACCGGAGAGGGUGAUCGGCCACACUGGGACUGAGAAACGGCCCCGACUCCUACGGGAGGCAGCAGUAGGGAAUCUUCCGCAAGGGGCGCAAGCCUGACGGAGCAACGCAGCGUGAGUGAAGAAGGUUUGCGGAUCGUAAAGUUCUGUUGUAAGAGAAGCGGUAUCUUACCAGAAAGCAACGGCUAACUACGUGCCAGCAGCCGCGGUAAUUC